rnacentral:rRNA from 1 species
UACGUAGGGUGCGAGCGUUAAUCGGAAUUACUGGGCGUAAAGCGUGCGCAGGCGGCUUUGCAAGACAGAUGUGAAAUCCCCGGGCUUAACCUGGGAACUGCAUUUGUGACUGCAUGGCUGGAGUGCGGCAGAGGGGGAUGGAAUUCCGCGUGUAGCAGUGAAAUGCGUAGAUAUGCGGAGGAACACCGAUGGCGAAGGCAAUCCCCUGGGCCUGCACUGACGCUCAUGCACGAAAGCGUGGGGAGCAAGCAGG